rnacentral:rRNA from 1 species
ACAUGCAAGUCGAACGAUGAACCACUUCGGUGGGGAUUAGUGGCGAACGGGUGAGUAACACGUGGGCAAUCUGCCCUGCACUCUGGGACAAGCCCUGGAAACGGGGUCUAAUACCGGAUACUGACCCGCUUGGGCAUCCAAGCGGUUCGAAAGCUCCGGCGGUGCAGGAUGAGCCCGCGGCCUAUCAGCUUGUUGGUGAGGUAAUGGCUCACCAAGGCGACGACGGGUAGCCGGCCUGAGAGGGCGACCGGCCACACUGGGACUGAGACACGGCCCAGACUCCUACGGGAGGCAGCAGUGGGGAAUAUUGCACAAUGGGCGAAAGCCUGAUGCAGCGACGCCGCGUGAGGGAUGACGGCCUUCGGGUUGUAAACCUCUUUCAGCAGGGAAGAAGCGAAAGUGACGGUACCUGCAGAAGAAGCGCCGGCUAACUACGUGCCAGCAGCCGCGGUAAUACGUAGGGCGCGAGCGUUGUCCGGAAUUAUUGGGCGUAAAGAGCUCGUAGGCGGCUUGUCACGUCGGUUGUGAAAGCCCGGGGCUUAACCCCGGGUCUGCAGUCGAUACGGGCAGGCUAGAGUUCGGUAGGGGAGAUCGGAAUUCCUGGUGUAGCGGUGAAAUGCGCAGAUAUCAGGAGGAACACCGGUGGCGAAGGCGGAUCUC